AAGGCGACACAAAAUUUCUCGAGUCUUUGCUUAAAGCUGGAGCAGAUCCAAAUUUAGCUGAAAAUGUUAUCUAUAGACCUAUUGAGGAAGCUGCAUUGGUGCAUAACCGUGCAGGUGUGGAGAUUUUGUUUCCAGUGACUAAACAGAUUACACAUUUCCCAAAUUGGACUGUCGAUGGCAUAAUCGAGUACGUUCAUUCUGAAGAAUUUACAAUAAUGAGUACGGCGAA